AAUGGGACCAACAGAAAUGUUACAGAGCUCCAAGAACUGCGGAGACACAACUCUUUUACAUCUCAGCCUCCACAAAGAGGCAGACAAGAUAAGCAAGGUUACAAGAGAAAAACAAGCAGGCUAGCUAGCAUAAUGAAAGAAAAUUGAAGAGGCCUAUGAGCCAGUAAUGUAGGGCUCAGUAGGCUGUCCGUCUCAGCUUGCCAGAGAAAAAUUGGUGCCUGAAGGGUUACUUACUUACUUGAACGGUUGAACCUUUGAUCAAACGACUGAUUUUGUUAUUAUAUACAUGCCACGUGUUCCAACUAUUAGAUCACCAUAUGAGAAAGGAAAAGUAAGGUACUAUGUAGAAACUUUGGAUCGGAUUAAUACAUAUAGAAGAAGAGCAAUAAAGCUGAGCACAAGAGGACUCAAAUUUGGUGGCAGAGGUUUUUCACAAGCAGAAAAUAAAGGAUACCUGCAAUAUCUUAACAGUCUGUUGGCAAUCCCCUCCUUUAAUUUGAAGCAAUAAAAUAACUAAACUGGUGUCUAAUUACUGAAAGUUACUCGAAGAAAAACUCAAAGAAUUUACUACAAAAAGGUGUUCGAAGAUCUGAAAUUUUCAUAAUAGUGGUUAUGAUCUCUAAAAUGUAAAAUAAAUUGGAAGGAUAUAUGGUGUGUGUUAGUUUCAGAACAUAGAGGCGAAAAUAAAAUGGAAGGACACAUGUUAAGUAGUACUUUUUUCUUACCUCAGUUGCUCCAGAAAUGUAAAUCCCUUGUGUUUUACCCUCCUUGAUCUAGAUUGUCCUUGGAGGUCAGACAAGUCAGGAAGGUCCCUUAGACAUCAGAAGAAUAAAUCGAAGCAUUAAAAAUUUUCUCAACAAAGGUACAUACCUUACUUUGUUCCCAAAUACAUCUCCACCUGAAAAUUGUAAUAAAAAAAUGCGAGCAAAGAUUUUAGCAAUGUGAGUUCAAAUUC
rnacentral:lncRNA from 1 species